GGGGCAGUGAUGAUUGGCGCAGGGGUACGGACCUCAGCUGGUGAUGGGAGCUGAGCGUUGGCACUUUGCCUUUGCUCAACCGGCAUGUGGCUGGCCCUCCAGAGGUGGUGUCAAUGCGAUACAAAUGCCAAAAUCUGAGCCUC